CCAAGUGCAAGCGAUGGCAACCGGUUGAAAAGCUCCAAAAUGCAAAAAACAACAACAACACCAACAACAUCCAGACGGGGGCCAGACAGUGGAGACUUUGCUAAAAAUUUACUGGGGCCCCGAACUCAGCUGCGGGAUACAAUUCUUCGGAAAAGAGCAAAAACCUUCAGAGAUUGCUGCGUACGAGAUGCCCCCUUGUACAUACGAUACAUUCCCCAUGUACAUACACACUGGGUACUUGCUCCCAUUUACCUAACCAAGGGGAAGAAAUCCGCCGGACGAGCAUGCUCGCACAUUAUGUGGCCACCUUUUUGAAUAGACAACUUCCACUGCGUUGGCGUUGGAUUGUCCAAGCCCUGGGCACCAAGAGUACUCUACUUCAGUGGAGGAGGAGUGGUGACAAGAAAAUGGGGCCAUAAAUAAAAACUCGAAUUAUAUAACAACCAGAGAUUGAGUUCUAUAGCAAUGCCCAUGUAUUAUAUGGUUAUUCAAUCGCUACUGUAACAACAAAUUGUAAACAAAUUGUCAUUUGAUUUGGUUAUUACGAAGUAAUUCUGAAUUCUAAACAAUGUGUAUAUAAGCUGAAUAUUUAUCAAGUUGUACCAAGCAAAUGUGCAGCUAAAUCUUACAUACAUACAUAUGUAUUUGUCUUAAGAAAUUGGUCAAAUAUAAUAAAAGGUUACAGCCUCGUUUUCAAU
rnacentral:lncRNA from 1 species